CAAAAGUAAAGAGCUUUAAGAGACAAGCCGAGGAUGCAGAGGAGCAGGCCAACUGCAAUAUGUCUCGGUUCAAGAAGAUCCAGCAUGAGCUGGAUGAAGCCGAGGAGAGGGCAGAUAUAGCCGAAUCUCAGGUCAACAAGCUACGUGUGCGCACCCGAGAGACUCACGUCGUCAAGAUCGUGGAGUGAAGACUGACUUAAGCCAGAUGACUUUUAAGAGUCAUGUAUCGUGUGACAAGUACCUUUCCUUUCUUUUUGGUCUUUGUAUGAUGCUGCGAAGGCACAAAGGUUUUGGAAAUGUUUAAUGCUUACUGAAGGCCAAUGCAAACUGAUUUUUCUUGUUGUGAUUGAAGAUUUCAAAGAUAAAAUGCUGAUUUUCAAAUGUCAAACAGUAGUCUUGAAAAGUUUUUUGUUUAAGUGUUUGUUCAUAUGUCCUUCUUGGAAAGGUCUCAGACUGCUGAGCUCAUAAUUUGCAAUGUUUUGGAAAAUCAGUGUCAUUACAGUACAGCUGAAGAGCAGCACGAGGAAACAGCUGCGUGCCUCUCGUACCUUUCUGUAACAGCUGAUCUGAAACUGGACUGAGUUUAAGGACCCACAGGGUAUUUGAAAAGCUAUUUGGACAUGAUAAAUAAACAGCGCCUAAAUGGAAAUGUUUCUUUGAUCAUGUCAA